GGGCCAUUAGCUCAACGGUAGAGCAGACGCCUCUUAAGCGUAAGGUUACAGGUUCGAAUCCCGUAUGGCCCA
rfam:Elusimicrobia bacterium GWA2_62_23 gwa2_scaffold_483, whole genome shotgun sequence.